UACAGAGGUCUCAAGCGUUUGUUCGGAUUCAUUGGGCGUAAAGGGUGCGUAGGUGGCGGGGCAAGUCUGGUGUGAAAUCCCGGGGCUCAACCCUGGAACUGCACUGGAUACUGCUUUGCUAGAGUACUGGAGAGGGAACUGGAAUUUACGGUGUAGCAGUGAAAUGCGUAGAUAUCGUAAGGAAGACCAGUGGCGAAGGCGAGUUCCUGGACAGUUACUGACACUGAGGCAGCGGAAGGCCAGGGAGCAAACGGG
rnacentral:rRNA from 1 species